rnacentral:rRNA from 1 species
GUGCAGCAGGCGCGAAUCCUUCGCAAUGCAGGAAACUGCGACGAGGGAACUCCAAGUGCCUACGCUCAGCGUAGGCUGUUCUCAAGCCUAGAAAGCUUGAGGAGUAAGGGCUGGGUAAGACGGGUGCCAUCUGGUGGUAGCAGGUCAAUAGAUUCGAUUUGUUACUGCAAAGGGCAUAAGCCGCCGCGGUAAUACCCGCAGCCCAAGUGGUGGCCGCUUUUAUUGGGCCUAAAGCGUCCGUAGCCGGCCCGGUAAAUGCCUGGGUAAAUCGUGGAGCCCAACUUCACGAAUUCCGGGUAGACUGCCGAGCUCGGGACCGGAAGAGGGAGA